GAUGAACGCUGGCGGCGUGCCUAAUACAUGCAAGUCGAGCGAACAGACGAGGAGCUUGCUCCUCUGACGUUAGCGGCGGACGGGUGAGUAACACGUGGAUAACCUACCUAUAAGACUGGGAUAACUUCGGGAAACCGGAGCUAAUACCGGAUAAUCUAUUGAACCGCAUGGUUCAAUAGUGAAAGACGGUUUUGCUGUCUCUUAUCGAUGGAUCCGCGCCGCAUUAGCUAGUUGGUAAGGUAACGGCUUACCAAGGCAACGAUGCGUAGCCGACCUGAGAGGGGGAUCGGCCACACUGGAACUGAGACACGGUCCAGACGCCUACGGGAGGCAGCAGUAGGGAAUCUUCCGCAAUGGGCGAAAACCUGACGGAGCAACGCCGCGUGAGUGAUGGAGGUCUUCGGAUCGGAAAACUCUGUUAUUAGGGAAGAACAAAUGUGUAAGUAACUAUGCACGUCUUGACGGUACCUAAUCAGAAAGCCACGGCUAACUACGUG
rnacentral:rRNA from 1 species